GACGAACGCUGGCGGCAGGCCUAACACAUGCAAGUCGAGCGAGCGGCGGACGGGUGAGUAAUGUCUGGGAAACUGCCUGAUGGAGGGGGAUAACUACUGGAAACGGUAGCUAAUACCGCAUACCAUCAGAUGUGCCCAGAGGGGAUUAGCUAGUAGGUGGGGUAACGGCUCACCCAGGCGACGAUCCCUAGCUGGUCUGAGAGGAUGACCAGCCACACUGGAACUGAGACACGGUCAAGACUCCUACGGGAGGCAGCAGGGGGGAAUAUUGCAAAAUGGGAGCAAGCCGGAUGCAGCCAUGCCGCGUGGGUGAAGAAGGCCGUCGGGUUGUAAAGCACUUUCAGCGGGGAGGCGUUACCCGCAGAAGAAGCACCGGCUAACUCCGUGCCAGCAGCCGAGGUAAUAC
rnacentral:rRNA from 1 species